UACGUAGGGGGCAAGCGUUGUCCGGAAUUAUUGGGCGUAAAGCGCGCGCAGGCGGUUAUUUAAGUUGGGUGUUUAAUCCCGGGGCUCAACCUCGGGUCGCACCCAAAACUGGGUAACUUGAGUACAGAAGAGGAAAGUGGAAUUCCACGUGUAGCGGUGAAAUGCGCAGAUAUCAGGAGGAACACCGGUGGCGAAGGCGGGUCUCUGGGCCGAUACUGACGCUGAGGAGCGAAAGCGUGGGGAGCGAACAGG
rnacentral:rRNA from 1 species